rnacentral:ncRNA from 1 species
AAUUCGGUACGCCUUGCUAACCACUUUUCGUUCGUCCGGGCGUCCGUGCCCGUCGUGGUCCCUGGCUCGACUCGCCGUCGCCUCGUCGUCCCGCUAUCGGGGUGCUUGCUCCGCGCGCGUCGCCUCGACCCAGCCGAUGGUCCUCUUCGAGGUCGACUCGGUCUCGCGCGGUCGCGCGGAACACCCCUUGGGGCCGAGCGUGGCAGCGGCACUUCGGCCGGCACCGAGCUCACCAUCGCCGGACGGCCGCCCCUCGAAAAGAGCGACCGACCCGCUGCAGCGACGCUCAAAGCGUCGAUUCCUUUUCGUUCGUCACGACCCUGAGGCGGGCGCGGUCCCGGGAUUAACCCGAGGCCGCAAUUCGCGUUCAGAUCGUCGAUCCGCAAUUCGCGUUCAGAUCGCGUUCAGAUCCAGCUCCAAAAGUAUCGAGUGAAAUUCUUGGAUCGGCGCAAGACGAACGACUGCGAAAGCAUUUGCCAAGAAUGUUUUCUUUAAUCAAGAGCGAAAGUCAGAGGUUCGAAGACGAUCAGAUACCGUCCUAGUUCUGACUAUAAACGAUGCCAACUAGCGAUCGGGGGGCGUUACAUUGACGACCCCUCCGGCAGCUUACGGGAAACCAAAGUCUUUGGGUUCCGGGGGAAGUAUGGUUGCAAAGCUGAAACUUAAAGGAAUUGACGGAAGGGCACCACCAGGAGUGGAGCCUGCGGCUUAAUUUGACUCAACACGGGAAAAGAGCAAUAACAGGUCUGUGAUGCCCUUAGAUGUUCGGGGCCGCACGCGCGCUACACUGACCGGAUCAGCGUGUGCUCUCCUUGGCCGACAGGUCCGGGAAACCCGUUGAACCCCGGUCGUGCUAGGGAUAGGGAAUUGCAAUUAUUUCCCUUGAACGAGGAAUUCCCAGUAAGCGCGAGUCAUUAGCUCGCGUUGAUUACGUCCCUGCCCUUUGUACACACCGCCCGUCGCUACUACCGAUUGAAUGGUUUAGUGAGGUCCUCCGAUUGGACCCGGUCCGGGCGGCGACGUCCGAGCCGGCGUCCGAGAAGACGAUCUAACUUGAU